rnacentral:lncRNA from 1 species
AAAGAUGGUGAGAGUCAUGGAGACUGGUUGGGACUUGCGUGUAUCAUUAACAGGUCACGGCGGGGGCAAGGAGCAAGACAUGAUGACUGUGACUAGGGAGUAAGGUAUUGGGGGCCCAGAGCUUGGGUUGGUCCUGAGGUCCACUAGCCGUUGCCAGGGAUUUUCAAGAGGCUGUUCCCAAAGUGGUCAGCAGAUGGCGCAACUACCCACACAUGGCCUCCCUGGGAGAUCACAGUUUGGCAGGUAUGGGAUGUUUUCAAGUCCUAGAUGAAGCUGUUAUCUUUCUGUAGAAGACUCAGAAGCUCAGCUAUAACAAGCAGAUUCUUGCCUUAAUUUCCUGAUGCUGUGACUUAGCAUUUUGGGAACUCAGCGGGCCCUCCUUUUUGAAGUGCUGAGAAUGGAUCCCAGGCCUCCCACAUGCUCUGCCACUUGAGAUGCUUCCUCUAAGACUGAGCCCCACCUUUGAUACCUGUGAGAAUCCUGAGCACGCUGGGGUGGGU